rnacentral:rRNA from 1 species
UACGGAGGGAGCUAGCGUUGUUCGGAAUUACUGGGCGUAAAGCGCACGUAGGCGGCUACUCAAGUCAGAGGUGAAAGCCCGGGGCUCAACCCCGGAACUGCCUUUGAAACUAGGUAGCUAGAAUCCUGGAGAGGUCAGUGGAAUUCCGAGUGUAGAGGUGAAAUUCGUAGAUAUUCGGAAGAACACCAGUGGCGAAGGCGACUGACUGGACAGGUAUUGACGCUGAGGUGCGAAAGCGUGGGGAGCAAACAGG